GGCGCGGUAGCUUAGUUGGUAAAGCACUUGUCUAGCGAAUAAGGGUCGUGAGUUCAAAUCUCACCUGAGCUG
rnacentral:tRNA from 1 species